rnacentral:rRNA from 1 species
CAAUAGCGUAUAUUAAAGUUGUUGCGGUUAAAAAGCUCGUAGUUGGAUUUCUGUUGAGGACGACCGGUCCGCCCUCUGGGUGAGUAUCUGGCUCGGCCUUGGCAUCUUCUUGGAGAACGUAACUGCACUUGACUGUGUGGUGCGGUAUCCAGGACUUUUACUUUGAGGAAAUUAGAGUGUUUCAAGCAGGCGUACGCCUUGAAUACAUUAGCAUGGAAUAAUGAGAUAGGACCUUGGUUCUAUUUUGUUGGUUUCUAGAGCUGAGGUAAUGAUUAACAGGGACAGUUGGGGCCGUUUAUAUUUCGUUGUCAGAGGUGAAAUUCUUGGAUUUACGAAAGAUAAACUUCUGCGAAAGCAUUCGGCAAGGAUGUUUUCAUUGAUCAAGAACGAAAGUUAGGGGAUCGAAGAUGAUUAGAUACCAU